CUGACAUAUUUCAUCAUUUAAAAACACUUCCUGUCACUGUGGUGGUUACAGUGACAUCAUGCAGUUUGUGCUUUGACCUCCAGAGGGCGACAAAUCAGCACAGACAGAGAGCUCCAUUCAAACUUUGCUGCCAUCAGGAAUAAUUCUUCAAAUAUAAUCAUCAGUGUUUGAGCAGUUAUGAUAUCAGGGACAAUCUAGACACAUGUGACAAUACUGAACAUGUCACAUGACACACCUUAAACAUCAUGUGAUCCACUCUCAGUCUGCACUUUCAUUCAUGACUUCAACAGGUUGAAAUGAGCUUUGAAGAAACAAUCAGUGAAAUAAAUCUUUCAUCACAGGAUUCAUGUGAGCAGCAGAUGAACUUUGUACCAACAACAUCUUCAAUAACAGAGUCUGAAUGAAUCUAUAGACUGGAAACAGGAUUCUUGUGAGCACCAGAUGAACUUUACAAGAAUCAGUGGAUUCAUCUUCUUUUUUAGAUCAACUUUGAUCACUUAGAUCAUCUGUUUGUUCUAACGUCUCACUCACUAACAUCUCGUAUGAUUUCAGAUCCCUGCUGUUCCCCACCUGCCCUGUAGGUGGUCUCAGAUUGUUCACACCUGCAGCUGCUACAAGGUUUCAUGUCCUUCCACCUCAGCAUGUGAACUUUACUCUGACUUAGACUCAGUCUGAGCAGUCAGGCGACAUAUUUUGAAACCAGUACAUGAAGGUGUGGCCCAAUCACAGUCUUCAGGUGGAGUCCCGCCUCCUUUCAGGAAGCAGCUCACCUGUGUGUCCAUGUUUAGUGUCCAGGUGUGGAGUGGAGCUUGUUGUUGGUGUGUGAGUUUGAAGAAACUGUAAGUUUGCUUUGUUUCCUCCUUUAACAUUUUUACUGUUUGUUUCUGCUAAUAAUGUUUGGACCAAAUGAUCACCUCUUAUUUCAGGACAAACUUUGAUAACUCUUGUGUUUGAAGACAAAUCCACAUGAUUAUAGAUUAUUGACUGACUGGAAUCGAACACUUUGAUGAACAGCUGAUGUUUCAUUGAUUUCUCCGCAAAGCAAACUGUUUUUUUUAUUUCAUGGAAGAAAAACGUUAUCUCUCCAUUAAAGUCACACACAGCAGUGUGCUUCUGUUUCCUGUCGGUCCUUUCAAAAUAAAAUGACAGUAAUGUUAGUUGUAAUGUGCUUGAUUCAGUCAGGUUAUUAAGUUCAUAUUUCCUUGAUGGAUCACUGAAUCCACUUGUGUUGCUGUUUGAGUCUCAUUAAAUCAGCCAACAGACUGCAGUGGGAGCAGCGCCCCCUUCUGGUUGCUCUAAGUGUUGCUGUGAGUCUGCAGUGAUCCUGUAAGAUGGAUUUAUGGUGGCUGUAGUGAGUCCUUCACAGCUACACACACACUUAUUGUGAGUUUAGUGUUGUCUGUGAACAAACUAGGGCUGUUAUCAUCACUAGUUUUUAUAAUCGAUUCGAUUCCGAUUCACAAGUUUCCAAUUUGACUUGAUUCAAAUCUGGAAAAUUUGGCCUCAGAAAGUCAGAAAUAUUAUAAUUCUCAUCAUUUAUUAGUACUGACACUUGUGAGACUUCAUCAGAGGUGGCAGGUGAGCAUAGGCAGAGGGCUGUGUGAGAACCAGCAGAUGAACUAAGACAGGCUUAACAGGGUGGAGUGGAGAAGUCUGAAGUUUUACUGUGAUCAAGAAAACAGCAUUAAACACAGGAAUAACUAAGACAAGGUUUAGCUUCAUUUAACGUGGCCUUGUCUAAAAAGGGUUAGCAGAUGCUCUAGCAAAGAGUGUUUGAGAAUGCUGGUCUAAAAAGCCUGCGGCGACUCCGCCCAGAAGUGGAAUCACCUCCACACUAGAAAGAUCCAGCACUCACCUGGAUCAUGACAGAUAUUUAUCAAAUGUGAAGCGCAGUUUUAAUCUUAUUUUGCUGCUGGUUCAGUAAAUUUUGGUCUGAGAGUGACAAAAUCUUCAGAAAGCUGUCGGCUUUCAGCC
rnacentral:lncRNA from 1 species